GCCACUGCCACUGCCUCUACUGUUGCCCCUGCCCCUGUUGCUGUUGCUUCUGCUGGCUUAUACAAGAUAAGUCCAAGAAAGAAGCCAGCCCAGGAAAAGCCAUCUCAGUGGGACACCUCAAGAGGACCCGUGGCGAGAAUCUUCCCACCAUGGGGACAGAGACUCAAAUCAGCUACUGUAGAACCAGCCACUUUCCCCCCAAUCUCAGGGGUUGCUCUGCUAGGGAAGGCAAGUAAAUGCUCACUGCCUUCAGGGCCCAAAGAGUUCAAGUCCGUCUGCACUGGGAAGAAAUCCAUAGCAAAGAAGACAAGGGAGCCACAGGCAGGGCCCAAAGAAGAUAACUCACCGAGAGAUCCUGGUCUGCAGGCCCAAGUUCCACCACACAGGGCAGAGCAGCCUUCCGUGUGCAUGUAUCGUGGAGAAAUGAGCAGGGGAGACUUCAACAUCAGAGCCCCUCAAGUUCCAGCAAACCCGCAGUUCUUCUCCUUGAGCCAGAGAUGUGCCAGACCCAGAGCACCACCUGCACCGUGACCAGGAAUUACCUCUACGUCUGCCAUUCCCAGUUGGCGAUAGGCAGCAUCAAAUACAAGCCAUAGGGGGCUGCCAACAGUGUGAGAUGUUACAGAAGGAAAUAGAUGAACUCAAGGAACAACUCGGUAUGGCCUACCCC
ensembl:antisense